GAUGAACGCUGGCGGCGUGCUUAAUACAUGCAAGUCGAGCGAACGGACGCGAAGCUUGCUUCUCUGAUGUUUGCGGCGGACGGGUGUGUAACACGUGGAUCACCUACCUAUAAGACUGGGAUAAUCUCGGGAAACCGUAGCUAAUACCGGAUAAUAUUUUGCACCGCAUGGUUCAUUAGUGAAAGUCGGCCUUGCUGUCACUACUAGAUGGAUCCGCGCUGCAUUAGCUAGUUGGUAAGGUAACAGCCUACCAAGGCUACUAUGCCUAGGCGACCUCCGAGAGUGAUCGGCCGCAUUGGAGCGGGAACAGGGUCCAGAGGCCUGCGAUAGGCAGCAGUAGGGAAUCGUACGCAGUGGGCGAGAGCCUUACGGAGCGACGCCGCGUGAGUUAUAAAAGUCUUCGGAUCGUGAAACUCGGUUAUGAGUUAUAAACAGAUGUGUAAUGAACUGUGCACAGCGUGACGGUACCUGAUCAGAAAGCCACGGCUAACUACGUG
rnacentral:rRNA from 1 species